UGGGAGCAAAGACUUGGUUUCACAAUG
rnacentral:piRNA from 1 species